AUACGUAGGUGGCAAGCGUUGUCCGGAAUUACUGGGUGUAAAGGGAGCGCAGGCGGGCGUGCAAGUCAGCUGUGAAAUCCAUGGGCUUAACCCGUGGGCUGCAGUUGAAACUGUUUGUCUUGAGUGAAGUAGAGGUAGGCGGAAUUCCGAGUGUAGCGGUAAAAUUCGUAGAUAUUCGGAGGAACACCGGUGGCGAAGGCCGCCGAUUGGGCUUUAACUGACGCUGAGGCUCGAUAGUGGGGAGAGCAAACUGAGUUAGAGUCCCUGGUCGACCACUCUGUAAACGAUGAUUGCUUGGUGUGUGGGGUCUGACCCCUUCCGUGCCGCAGUUAACGCAAUAAGCAAUCCACCUGGGGAGUACGGUCGCAAGGCUAAAACUCAAAGGAAUUGACGGGG
rnacentral:rRNA from 1 species